rnacentral:rRNA from 1 species
GACGAACGCUGGCGGCGUGCCUAAUACAUGCAAGUAGAACGCACAGGUUAUACCGUAGCUUGCUCCACCAUAGACUGUGAGUUGCGAACGGGUGAGUAACGCGUAGGUAACCUUCCUGGCAGCGGCGGAUAACUAUUGGAAAUGAUAGCUAAUACCGCAUAAUAUUAAUUAUUGCAUGAUAAUUUAUUGAAAUUGGCAAUUGCACCACUACCAGAUGGACCUUCGUUGUAUUAGUUAGUAAGGGAGGUAAAGGCUCACCUAGGCGAUGAUACAUAGCCGACCGGAGAGGAUGGUCGGCCAGACUGGGACUGAGACCCGGCCCAGAGUGCUACGGGAGGCAGCAGUAGGGAAACUUCGGCAAUGGACGAAAGUCUGACCGAGCAACGCCGCGUGAGUGAAGAAGGUUGUCGGAUCGGAAAGCUCUGUUGUAAGAGAAGAACGGGCGUGAGAGUGGAAAGUUCACACUGUGACGGUAUCUUACCAGAAAGGGACGGCUAACUACGUG